rnacentral:rRNA from 1 species
CAGCAGCCGCGGGAAUACGAAGGGGGCUAGCGUUGUUCGGAAUCACUGGGCGUAAAGGGCUCGCAGGCGGUUUCUUAAGUCUGAUGUGAAAGCCCCCGGCUCAACCGGGGAGGGUCAUUGGAAACUGGGAAACUUGAGUGCGGAAGAGGAGAGUGGAAUUCCACGUGUGGCGGUGAGAUGCGUAGAGAUGUGGAGGAACACCAGUGGCGAAGGCGACUCUCUGGUCUGUAACUGACGCUGAGGAGCGAAAGCGUGGGGAGCGAACGGGAUUAGAUACCCCCGUAGUCCCUGUCUCUUAUAA